ACACUCAAUCUCAGCUGUAUGAUUAAAUCAGACGGUAAGAAAAAUUCUGCAAGCAUACUCGGUUACAUUAAUUGAAGAAAAAAUGGGUAAAUAUUGGGCACCAACGUUAUAAAUACCCUCCACCAUGCACCCAACUCCCUCACACCAUCACAACCCACGUUACAAAUCCUCCUCCUCAUCAUAACCAUUCUGUUUUCCGCAUAAUAUCCAAAAACCUAUCAUGUCUGAAGAGAAACACCACCGCGGUCUCUUCCACCACCACAAGGAUGAAGACAAACCCUCAGACUACCCUCAGUCUGGCUACUCUGAUGAAGGACGUCCCGGCGGCCUCGGUGGUGGUUACGGCGACACCAAUGAUUAUUCUGGUGAAGGACGUACCGGCGGCCUAGGUGGUGGCUAUGGCGACACCAAUGCUUAUUCUGGUGAAGGACGUCCCGGCGGCUAUGGCGGCUAUAACGAGACCACUGCUUACUCUGAGGAAAGAGUUGAAAGACCCGGCGGUGGCCGGUACAGUGAGACUACUGCGGCAUAUGGCAGCACCACCACUCAUGAAUCUGAACUUGAUUACAAGAAGGAGGAGAAGCACCACAAGCAUCUCGAGCACCUCGGCGAGGCCGGUGUAGCUGCUGCCGGCGCUUUUGCCUUGGUACGUAUUGUAUUUUAACCCACCUCUAUAUAUAUAUAUAUUAGAAUAAUGCUAAUAAGACCAAAUUUUGAAAACUAAAUGAUGUGGUUGUUGAUAAUGAACUUAUUACUCAAGUCUUGAUUAACAUGCUUAUUUUCUAAUAGUGACACAUUAUUUGGUUUAGAAAUUUGGUCUUCCUAACUUUAUCAUUCUCAAAAUUUUCAUGAUUUUGAUAGGGUAAUACGGGAGAUCAAAAUUUCUAAACCAAAUUUGCAAACCAAUAGAUGAUUGGAUUAUUAAUUAAGUAUCGAUUGUUUGUUUCUUAUUAACGACAUAUCAUUUGAUUUACAAUUUAGUUAAAAAAAAUUUAUUCUUUCUGUCAUAUCCUUUUGAAUAUUUGAUCACUUUACUCUUUAUCACUUUACCCUUGAUCACUUUACCCAUACUCUUGCAACCGAAUCACCGUCCUCCUCCUUAACCUUCAUUUUUUUGUCUUACAGUACUCCAAUCUAUCAACUCUGUCCAUUGCAACUUUAAUUGUGAAGAAAAUUAAAGUCCUAUCGUAAAAUUAAUUAGUGAUAUGGAGAGUUGCGCAAUUAUUGAUGGACUAGGUAGGUAAGAUACGGAAUCAAAGUCUACCAUUAACAAUGGACGGAAUUGAUGAACCAUAUAGGUAUGUAAGAUACGGAAUCAAAGUCCUCAUGUAAAUGGUACAGUUGCAAUCAGGAGAAGAAAUGAGUUAACUGAUACCUUCGUAAUAGUUCAUGUAGAGUUUUGAUAUUAUUAAGCCUUAACCACCUGAUCUUAUAUAUACGAGGACAAAUCUAAUCAAAUAUGUGUUAAUUUCAAGGUUUGUUUUACAUUGAUGUGAGAUCGAUGCUAGCAAGAUAUAUAACUUAUGUCAGUUUCUAUAUGAUGUGUGUAGCAUGAGAAGCACAAUGAAAAGAAAGACCCAGAGCAUGCCCACAGGCACAAGAUAGAAGAGGAGAUUGCUGCAGCAGCUGCAGUUGGUUCGGGUGGAUUUGC
rnacentral:lncRNA from 1 species